CCUACGGGAGGCAGCAGUGGGGGAUAUUGCACAAUGGGGGAAACCCUGAUGCAGCGACGCCGCGUGUGGGAAGACGGUCCUCUGGAUUGUAAACCACUGUCCCCAGGGACGAAGAUGACGGUACCUGGGGAGGAAGCUCCGGCUAACUACGUGCCAGCAGCCGCGGUAAUACGUAGGGAGCGAGCGUUGUCCGGAAUUACUGGGUGUAAGGGGAGCGUAGGCGGGACUGCAAGUUGGGUGUCAAAUCUACCGGCUCAACCGGUAGCCGCACUCAAAACUGCAGUUCUUGAGUGAAGUCGAGGCAGGCGGAAUUCGUAGUGUAGCGGUGAAAUGCGUAGAUAUGAGGAGGAACCCCAGUGGCGAAGGCGGCCUGCUGGGCUUUUACUGACGCUGAGGCUCGAAAGUGUGGGGAGCAAACAGGAUUAGAUACCCUUGUAGUC
rnacentral:rRNA from 1 species